ensembl:lncRNA
CGGCUCGGCUCGGCUCGGCUCGGCUCGGCUUCCCGGGUCUGCUGGCGCGGCGCUGGGAGGCACUGCGGCCGUCUGUGAGGGAGGGCAGCGGAGCCUACAGAGGAAGCUGGGCCAGUGAGAAUGCAGAGCAGUCUGGUGACGAUGGCAGCCCUGGACAGCAGCACAGCAAAUGAUUGACCACCUGAGGCGAGCACUGAGUCAGCCGCAGAGGACACAGUUGAACACAGUUUCACCUGAGUGACCGGAAGACCCCAUGUAAGGGCUGACUCUUGGAGCCCUUUGGUGAGCCCACGACCAGGCGCAGCUGCUGAGGCCUUUGUAGUGGCUCACAAAGAAAGGCCAAAAACGGGACUGGAGAAGAACAGAAGAAGAGGCAUUCCAGGAAGCCAACUUAGCUGCUAAACAGGCCCAGGCACUGGGCAUCAUGUGUCAGCCACACGGGUACGGUGUUGAAGUGGAAAAAAGCCUGCAGACCCUGGGAAAACCAUUGGGGGAGAGAGGAGAAGUGCCCUUUGAAGCAUUUGAUGCCCUGCUGGCAUCCAACACCAGCAUGGUCCUUUUCUCUCCUUUUCAGCCUUUUGCCAUCUCUCAGUGGUUGGUGCAGGUGGAGUUGAAUGGGAUCCAGCUUCCCAGCUGAGCUCCAUGCCAGAAGCCCCAGCAACUCCUAUGGGCCCUGAGAGACGGAAAGAGGCACUGGGAAAAGGAAAAUAUCCGCAGAGGCUGUCCCAUAUCCUAAAGAAAAUCAUGAAGGAGAAGGCAGCACAUGUGCUGUCAGAGCCCCGGGAAGCCCAACACAACAGGAUCUAUGAUCCUUUUCUGAAGAAUCCAGGUGUGGAUGGUGAAGGACGUGCAAAAGCCGAGCAAAUUAAAGCUACACAGAAGUACUACCUGGAACUUGCUGCAGCUGUCCCGGUUUCCCUAUUGCUAGGGAUGAUUCUGUGCUGUCUACUUAUCUGGCGAUGGAGGCAGAGAAACCAGCGCCUCGCUGCAGCUGAUGAAGCCCGGGAUGAUAGCAGCAGCUCCAGUUCAGAGUCAGAUGAACAGCCUGCCCACCUCGAGGGGCCCAAAAGACAGACAUGGUGGCAACCACCUGUGUGGGGACGACCUGCCCACCUGCUGCAGGACACCACCAGAGCAGCCCCUGCCAGGCUGGACAGCAGCCAGGCUCAGCUGCCCCCACCUCGGCCCCCGCGGCCCACCGGCCUGGGCUCCACAUCCCGGGGGAUGCGCAACAGGCCCAGCAGCCCCCAGACCCACCGGGCAUCAGCACAGCCCCCCCGUCCCCUCCACCAUCCUUCAGGGGACGGAAGGAACCUGCCCGGGGUAGAGGCUCGCAGUCAUUGGCCAGCACUGAAACAACGGCUCCCCAGCAGAUGAGCGACAGGCCCAGCAGCCCCCGGCCCCCCCGGGCAUCAACACCACCCCCCCGUCCCCCUCCACCAUCCUUCAGGGGACGGAAGGAACCUGCCCGGGGUGGAGGCUUGCGGUCAUCGGCCGGCACUGAAACAACGGCUCCCCGGCAGAUGAGCAACAGGCCCAGCAGCCCCCGGCCACCAACGCCGCCCCCCCGACCUCUGCCUCCUCCUCCUCCACCAUCCUUCAGGGGACGGGAGCGGUCCCCUCAGGGUGUCGGCUCGGGGGCAUCGUCCAGCACCCAGACAACCGCUGCCUCAGGGAAGCCUGAGAGGCCCAGCAGCCCUCAGCCCCUCCCAGCACCACCUCUGCCUUCCCCCUCCCCUCCACCAUCCAUCAGGGGAGGGAAGCAAUCCCCGCAGAGUGCAGACUUGGGGAAAAUGUCCAACAGACGGACAACCACUGCCUGGGGGAAGCGCGACCGCUCCAGCAGCCCCCCAGCUCCCCAGGCACCGUCACCACCCUCCCAUUCCCCUCCACGAUCCUUCAGGGAACGGGAGUGGCGCCCCCAACCCCCUCCACUGCCCUCUCCAUCCCCUCCACCAUCCUUCAAGGGACAGCAGCGGCCCCACCAGCAUGACAGACCUGGCCGCCCCCAGGCUCCCCAAAUGCCCUCCCCCACCCCUCCACCAUCCAGCAGGAGGUGGGAGCAGCCCCCCCAGGGUGUUGGCUCGCAGGAACUGUCCAAGAGACCGACCACUGCUGCCUGGGGAAAGCGUGACCGGCCCAGCAGCCCACAGCCCCCCCGGGCACCAUCCUCCUACUCCCCUCCACCAUCCUUCAGGAGGUGGGAGUGGCCCCCCCAGAGUGUCAGCACAGGGGCAUCGUCAGACACCUGGAAAACCACUGCCAGGGGAAAACAGACCAGGCCCAGCAGCCCCCAGUACCGCCCAGCACCACCUCUGUCCUCUCGCUCCUCUCCACCAUCCAGCAGGAGGUGGGAGCAGCCCCCCCAGGGUGUUGGCUCGCGGGAACUGUCCAAGAGACCGACCACUGCUGCCUGGGGAAAGCGUGACCGGCCCAGCAGCCCACAGCCCCCCCGGGCACCAUCCUCCUACUCCCCUCCACCAUCCUUCAGGAGGUGGGAGUGGCCCCCCCAGAGUGUCAGCACAGGGGCAUCUUCAGACACCUGGAAAACCACUGCCAGGGGAAAACAGACCAGGCCCAGCAGCCCCCAGUACCGCCCAGCACCACCUCUGUCCUCUCGCUCCUCUCCACCAUCCAGCAGGAGGUGGGAGCAGCCCCCCCAGGGUGUUGGCUCGCGGGAACUGUCCAAGAGACCGACCACUGCUGCCUGGGGAAAGCGUGACCGGUCCAGCAGCCCACAGCCCCCCCGGGCACCAUCCUCCUACUCCCCUCCACCAUCCUUCAGGAGGUGGGAGUGGCCCCCCAGAGUGUCAGCACAGGGGCAUCGUCAGACACCUGGAAAACCACUGCCAGGGGAAAACAGACCAGGCCCAGCAGCCCCCAGUACCGCCCAGCACCACCUCUGUCCUCUCGCUCCUCUCCACCAUCCAGCAGGAGGUGGGAGCACUCCCAGCGUGCGGGUUUGGGGACACCAUCUGACAUCCACAGAAGCACUGCUGGCAUCAACCGGAGUUUUCCAGGCUCCGCUGUACCAAUAAGUAGAAAGUAGUGCGUUUGGGGCACCACCUGAUAUCCACAGAACCACUGCUGGCAUCAACCCGAGUUUUCCAGGCUCCACUCUACCAAUAAAUAGAAAAUAG